GGAAAACUGAACCGGAGUGCUACGAAGCCGUUCUGAACUGGCGCUGAACUGAGCAGAGGCAAGAAAAUCUCAGUUGUAUCGGGAAAUUGAAAGCGUUCGCUUGUGUUCAGUCGCAAAGUGUGCGGUUUUUUGUGCGAAAGAAAGGUUUUGGUACGACGACGAAGCCGAGUUUUAACGGGGACGCAGACGAAGACGACGUCGACGGUGGUGGUAAACUGAGGGCAAACUGUGUACGCCAGUGUAUGUGAGAAGCGAGAUGUUAAAGGAGAAUAAAAAAUAACAAUAAAAAAAGAAAAGAAAGCAAAGAAGUGGAGGAAGCAAGAGCUGUAGCGGACGGACGCAGCUUCUUUAAACGCACGCGUGUGUAUGUGUUUUCUGACGGUCGCGACGCUUUGUGUGCGUCCAAACACUUUUCUUUAGUUUUGGUUUUUAUGUUCAAUAUCGCUGCUUAUACAUACAUAUGUAUGUGAAUUUUUGUUGGAGAUUUCUCUGCCGAGAUAAUAAUUAAAUGGAAAUUGUCAUUAUUGGAUUGGUAUACGGACAGUUUGGAAAGAAAAUAACAUAAUGUGUGUAUGUAGUUCUUAGGAUAUACUUGUUGUUUUUGCACUCACUCGGUUGUGGGGCCAGAGCAUCACACCAACUCCAACAGCUGGAGGAGCAUUUUUUGUGUAUAAUUGAAUGAGUGUGUUAAAGCAGGAUUGUGUGAAAACCAUAAUUGUGCACAACAAAGAAACCAAAAUAAGAAUUUGUGUCAAAAGUGCAAGAAAAAAAUAUGAAAACGCAAGCAAUUCAUAGUAGUUGAAAUGGCAAAAAUGCGAUAAGUGAAGUAUGUCCGAAGUAAAGGUGCGCGUAUAAGUUGAGAAGUGGAAAUAUCGCAAAAGAUAAAUUUUAUUUCACAAGAAAUGUUUUAGUUCAAAAAAUACACAGAAAAAAUAUGGGUUUUAUCAUGAGGUUCUGACUAUGAACAACACGAAAAAGUUCAUGGCAGACUGUGAAAAAAUCAAAAACAAUAGUUUCAUCACGCCAUACCCAUGUAAGUUGACUUUUUGGCUUGAAAAUCGAGAAUAGAAAGGAUUAACAAAGAAAUAACAACCAAAAUAUUGAAAUCAAAUGCAAAUAGUGAAUUCUACGAAAAAAAAAUAUAAAAGCAAACAAAAAAUGUGGGAAAAAUCCUGAAUAAAUCAGCGCCAAUCAACGAGAAAAAAUAAGGAAUACAUUGAAAAAAUAUCUAAAUCGAAGCAAUCUCCAACGGAAAAUACGCAAAUAUAAAGUGAGAAUCCGGUUAAAAGCAUACAAAUCAUAUUGAAUUGAGUGAAGUUAAAGCAAAAUGUGGAAAAAAUAAUUGGCAGUGAAUAAAAAAGUGUCGGAGUCGAAGCCAAAAAAGAGUGUGUCGACAAAACGCCGCGCUACGAUAAAGGCAAACUGAAGCGCCAAAACGAAAGUUACGCAUUGAGGACGUUUUUGGUGGUGGACUUGUGUGUUGUGUCUGUUGACGGUUCAUCGGGCUGAUUCGGUGCGGAAAAUCCUUUGUUUUCAUUUAGGUUUUCCAGCUAAAGCUGAAAUGUGCGGGUAAAAACAAAAAAAAAAAAACAAAGCAUCAUUUGAAGCGAAAAGCGUCAAAUUUAAAUACCGUUACACUUGCUCUACCGGUACCCGUUUGCAACGUACACGCAACGCGCACAAGGACUAAAUCGAAAUAUUGACGUGCUUCUUGCAGAAAUACCCACCGAAUACUCUAAAAGCAACAAAACUAACGCAAACAACUACAAUAGUAAGCUCGUGCUAGGAAAAGAGCGGAAAUUUUGCUGCUUUCGUUUCUGUACACUGCCAAAUAGCCAAAUUAAAGGAAGAGGAGAAAAAACCCACUGAAAAGGCGGCCAACUACUGCCAGCACCGCCGCGCCAGUACCAAUACCAAAGCGAAAUUCGCCGUACAAUCCUAUUUCACGAUAUGCCGCAACCUGCUACGAAUUAGGUUUUCCACGGCUAGUCCUUUGUAGAACGCCAUAGUGUCAUUGUGUUUGUGUGGUUUGGGGAAUUUUUGGUGCGUAGUCGUUCCACGUUUGUUGUGGAAAUUUGAAAAUUUUUCAGUCACAACGAUACGCUCUUUAGCCUUGAAACCGCAACAUAGCAUCCACACAUCCACACAUCUACACAUCCUGGUGCUUGGUAUUUCACAUAUAAACAACAGUUGAAUUGAAUUGAAUUUGUGCAGUCGGUUACGGGUCGCUUAGCAGUUCUGUGGUCUAACGUGAGUUUACCUGCAAGCGAACAUACAUACAUCGCUUGGGCCUGAUCUCUCGGUAACCAACUGAAAGUCAACAAUUCCUAUCGGCAUCAACCGUCAGCGCCAAUCAAUUUAAACCCUCGUCGAACUAAGUAAAUACUAAAGUGUGUUUCUGUGUUUUUCGCUUUCUCGCGGUUAAAACGUGUUGAUGAACUGCAAUUUAGUAUUAUCGCGUGAAUACUUUUUUGUUGUUGCUGUUGUUAAACAAUGUCAUCAAAAUGUGGAUUAAACCUGAUUUUCGUGUCGAUCAUUUUCAUUAUCAUCGUAAAUGGCUACGCAAAAGACAUUUCCGGAAUUGAAAGAGG